UAGGGAAUAUUGCGCAAUGGAGGAAACUCUGACGCAGCGACGCCGCGUGGGUGACGAAGGUCUUCGGAUCGUAAAGCCCUGUCGGAAGGGACGAAAGACGUUAUGGCUAACAUCCAUAACGAGUGACGGUACCUUUAAAGGAAGCACCGGCUAACUACGUGCCAGCAGCCGCGGUAAUACGUAGGGUGCAAGCGUUGUUCGGAAUCAUUGGGCGUAAAGCGAGUGUAGGCGGUUAAUUAAGUCGGGUGUGAAAGCCCUGGGCUCAACCCAGGAAGUGCAUUCGAAACUGAUUAGCUAGAAGAUGGUAGAGGAAGGUGGAAUUCCUAGUGUAGAGGUGAAAUUCGUAGAUAUUAGGAGGAAUACCUGAGGCGAAGGCGGCCUUCUGGGCCAUUCUUGACGC
rnacentral:rRNA from 1 species